GCUAACGUAGCUUAAAUUAAAGCAUAACGCUGAAGACGUUAAAAUGGGCCCUAGAAAGCCCCGCAAGCA
rnacentral:tRNA from 1 species